AAUGUGAACGUGUGUACUACCGUAUGUGUCGCGAUUCACCUGUUGUAACACCUGAUGCAUCCUCCAAAGCUCCGCGCUUCCCUCGUCUCGACGGGUGCUUAAUAAUCACGCACAAAAGCAUUGCUUCGACGAUUCAAUCUAAUUAACUGGAGUAGCUAACCGGUAGGACAAUUAUAACCAUAUUCCAUAAUGGAGCCGCACGAAAUAAUGUCCUUAAGAGGAUCUUAUUAGCUAACAGCUAUGAGAAGAUGAAGUAGAUUGCAGACAGGAUCGAACCUCAAGACACAAGGAAGAGUCAGAGAAAGGAGAGGGUGGAAAGAGAUAGGGGAUGAAAAGAGAUCGC